rnacentral:tRNA from 1 species
GGUUCUUAUAGUUGAAUGCAGCGGUAGUUUUUCAGAUUACAGGUCUAGGUUAAAAUCCUGGUAGGAAU